rnacentral:rRNA from 1 species
AUUGAACGCUGGCGGCAUGCUUUACACAUGCAAGUCGAACGGCAGCGCGGGCUUCGGCCUGGCGGCGAGUGGCGAACGGGUGAGUAAUGCAUCGGAACGUGCCCAGUAGUGGGGGAUAGCCCGGCGAAAGCCGGAUUAAUACCGCAUACGACCUGAGGGUGAAAGCGGGGGACCGAAAGGCCUCGCGCUAUUGGAGCGGCCGAUGUCGGAUUAGCUAGUUGGUGGGGUAAAGGCUUACCAAGGCGACGAUCCGUAGCUGGUCUGAGAGGACGACCAGCCACACUGGGACUGAGACACGGCCCAGACUCCUCCGGGAGGCAGCAGUGGGGAAUUUUGGACAAUGGGGGCAACCCUGAUCCAGCCAUGCCGCGUGCGGGAAGAAGGCCUUCGGGUUGUAAACCGCUUUUGUUCGGGAAGAAAUCCUCUGGGCUAAUACCCCGGGGGGAUGACGGUACCGGAAGAAUAAGCACCGGCUAACUACGUG